UACGUAGGGGGCAAGCGUUGUCCGGAAUGACUGGGCGUAAAGGGCGUGUAGGUGGUCAAACAAGUCAGGUGUGAAACCCCGGGGCUGCACAUGAAACUGUAUGACUUGAGGGCAAGAGAGGAAAGUGGAAUUCCUAGUGUAGCGGUGAAAUGCGUAGAUAUUAGGAGGAACACCAGUGGCGAAGGCGACUUUCUGGAUUGACCCUGACACUGAGGUGCGAAAGCGUGGGGAGCAAACGGG
rnacentral:rRNA from 1 species